rnacentral:rRNA from 1 species
UACAGAGGGGGCAAGCGUUGUUCGGAAUUACUGGGCGUAAAGGGCGCGUAGGCGGCCUGUUAAGUCGAACGUGAAAUCCCCGGGCUCAACCCGGGAACUGCGUCCGAUACUGGCAGGCUUGAAUCCGGGAGAGGGAUGCGGAAUUCCAGGUGUAGCGGUGAAAUGCGUAGAUAUCGAGAGGAACACCUGCGGCGAAGGCGGGUUGCUGGGCUGACACUGACGCUGAGGCGCGAAAGCCAGGGGAGCGAACAGG